CAGAUUUGAGGAGCUGGAGAGCCGGCUAAGUGAGCUUGGAGAAGGGUUGGAGGAGACCCGAGGUGAACUCCAAGCCACACUCAAUGAAACCCGUGACAAGUUGGUAAAUGAAAAUGAAACCUUGAAGAUUGUUCACGCCAAAGAAAUGUCCACCAUGAGGGAAGACAACCGUGUGUUGAAAGAAAUGGUAGAGAGGAUGCAUGAGGAAAUGGAAGGCAUGCGGGAAGAGAUGGUGUUGCUCAAUAGAUUGGUGACCCAAAGAAGUGGGACUAAUCCUCACUCUACACUCUCAAUCCCUACGGCAAGGGUGGAGAGACCCAUGCCAAGCGCAUCCAAGGGAGAAGGAAGCG
rnacentral:misc_RNA from 1 species